GUUCUCUCAAGCCAGGAGGGGGCGAGACCAUUUGCUUCCUGCAGUGGUUCUUCCAGGCCAGGAGGGGGAGUUGUGGAAUAGUCUUCUCUAGCUCAGGCAACAGCCAGCUCGAUGAUAGGUGUCUUUGCUCUACCUCCUGAGCCCCCAACGUCCUACUGCACCGCUGCCGUCCGUCAAAAAGGACAUCCAAAUCAUGUUGUGAUUGGUAGGCUGGACACAAAAAGUGUGUGUGUGUGUGUGUGUGUGUGUGUGUGGGGGCGGGGGUGCAGGUGGUUUAAUUUAUUUAAGAGUGGCGCAAGAGUUACAAUAAUGUGGGAGUAGGUAGAAAGUGGUGGAGAGAAAGAGACAAUGGAAGAAGCAUUGAUUCUCGAGAUUAUGGACUUCAAAGUCAAUAAUAGGUUACCUGAUGCCGGCCUAACAAAACAACAGAGAUGCACGAUAUAAAGAAGAUAACACUUUGCUCAAGGCUUUUCUGACCAGAUGGAGAGCUUCAUUACGUUUGUAGAAGACGGAAGGAGAGCGAGCGUUUGGAUAAGGUAGUCACCUCAGCUGCCAAGGCCAACAUAAUAUUCGAAGAAAUGCUCUGCAGUUCUAUCUGUGGUCACUACGAUGUGGAGAAAAACGCACAAUGCGGUGAUCAGUCGAAACGACUGGCCUGGCAUGGAGGCGGACAUCCGCAAAUGGACUACAGAAAGGGAAGUCUGUGGCCCGCUGCUUGAGCUGCUCCCCCCGCGACCCAACCCCGGAUAUAUAUAUGAAGAUGAGAUGAGGAGAGAUGAUAAUUGACUUCAGGUGGCCCAGUGUCCUGAGUGCCAAAGAAAUCAGGCCAGUCUCAAAGAAAGUACCCAGUACUGUACCACCAGAGGUAACAACCAUUUGAGCUGGUGGGGAGGAACCUCAUGAGGCGCAGUUUAACAGAGUGGUAAUCUUUACAUUUGUGUGAUGGUUGAUUAUUUCACCAAGUGGGCAGCGGCCUACCCUCUGAAGAGUAAGUCUGCAGAGGAGGUGAGCAAUUGUAUUCUUGAUACAACUUUAAGAACCAGGUAGCUAAGGAACCUUCCGUAUAUCUUAGGGAUAAGGAACUGCAGUCUGCAAUGUUCAGCAUCAAGACCAAGAACUAGUUAACAAAGAAGUAUAGCCCAUCUUUUGUUGUUGUUUGGCAGGAAGGCAAAUACCCAUCUUAUGUGCCACAGAGCCUAAGGUAAGUGGCUCUAUUUGUAUAGGUCGUCAGGGAGUGUGGUCAUUAUUACUUGACUAAAUAGGUGAGAUUUUAACACCACUUGGUAUCUUUGUACUUUAGGUGACACUGAGAAGGUGGAGCGUUUGCUGAUGAGGGAGGCGGUUUUUAAAGGACUCUCAAAGCAGACAAACGUACAUAAAACUAAAAUACAGUCCUACAAGCGUCCAAAAGAAGCAGGAGAAAAUCCGUAAACUGUAGCUGGAGAUCGUGUGCUCAAAAAAGGUGGAGGAACGCAGUAAAAAGGGGUCUCGCUGGGGCCUUUCAAAAUAAUCGCACUUUGCCAUGCUGGCGGGGGCAAAUAUCGACCUCCUCACCCCCUUCAUUGAGCCAGAGGAGCUUCAAGAGAUAAUACCAGGGGAGAGUCAGCCCACUCAAAGUAAUGGUACAUUACAUUCAGUUAUGUGACAUUAAGGAUAAUAAUGCCAUCCAGUCUUUUAAAUGACUUGUGUUCUGAUUUUCCAGUUUUCCAACAAAUAUGGACUAGGGAAAAGGGGAGAUUCUGUGGUCCAAAAUCGGGCCAUGUAUCAAAUAUUCUCGGCAGAUCCCCAGAGCCAGGCCCCCGGGAAGGAAUUGGAGAGAGAGGUAAGUCUUGUUUUGUGAUUCAAAUAUGUCCUCUUUGAUAAGAAAGUUGAUUAUAAUCAUUUUCGUUUAGCUUGUAAAGGCUUACCUCUCCUGUGGGUAAAAAAUGGGCCAGGGUCAAAUUUAAAGUAACUUUGAGAUGAUGUGCCAUUUGGAAGGGCAGGUCACGGGGGACGAGGGGGGUAAGGACAAUGUAUUUAUUGUCUAUUUAACCAUCUUAAAAAACGAAACUAAUCACUUUCAGCUAGAUAUAAUGGAGUGGGACAUCCGAUCCUCAUCGGGGCGGUCUGCAAGGAUGGACAUUGGACUCUAGUAUUAACUGCCCUUUAAUUAUUGCAAUUGAUGAAUCUAUAAGGAAAAGAUCUCUCAACAUUUCUCGAUAAUGAGACUACAUCUAAGGAGUGGAGUUUGUUUAGAUCUCUCUUUCUCUUUCUCUCUCUCUCUUAUAUAUAUAUAUUUUGACCCCUCCAUGGGACCACAUAGACAUUAUUAUUUGGUCAAGGUUCAACUGUCAUGUCUAGCGUUUUGGAAAAGGCCUGUAGCUAUCCAACCUUUCACUUAGGUUUGUCAACAAUCAACCACUAACAAAUUAAUCAGUUCAGAGUAACAAGCAACCUAUUGCUACUGCUUGCCCUAAGGGCAGCAGUUGACACAGCAGUCCGAAAGUAUACUCAACGUCUACACUGGCAGUCUGCACAGCACAUAACCCUCAUAGGAGUAUAGCCUUGUGCUAGCAGCUAGACACAGGCUGGUUGGGUAUUGUUGAACAUGUAGUCGCUUUAACCACGCUGUGCUAUACAGCCUCUACUGGUGGGACAUAUAGUACAUUAAACAACACUGUCCUAGACACGGCCUAUACUGGGGGGCACGGUGGGUCAUGUGGUCCAGUAAACUA